UUUCAUCGGUCUCUUCCCAAAAAAAAAAAACACAAACUCCAAGUCUUCGAGAGAAGACUCAAGACAACUUACAAGUCUCUUCCGUACAUAGCCAUGUCUCUACUAUGUAAGAAACCGAAAUCUGGUCGACUCUCGAGAUUCAUGUCGGAGUUUCACCAAUCUCCAAAACGCGGUGGGAUCAUGGUCGUUGAAACUGGCUUUAAUUCCAACUUCUCUGAUCGAUCUCUUCUUCAAGAAUCGCGAUCGUCUAAAGAAGUAUUCCUCUAAAACGAAACGCAUCCAACGCUUGACUGUGUAAGACAGAUCAUGCAGACAUGAGUGGUGUAAUUGUAACGGCCGGCUUACAUAAAAGUUGGGCUCUUUCUGUAGUUACACAAGGCCCAUUAUUUUCAAUAUAACAAAACAAAUAUUUUAAUGAUUUUUUUUUAUGAUCCUAGUAUCCGGAGCCUCGAAAAGAUCCGAUUAGCGCCAAUGACCGUCCACCGAAGCUUAGCCGGAGAGCCCGCCGAAGCAUCCAAGAGGGCUAGUGAUCAUCCCAUAUAAAUCCCACCAAUGGCCACAAAUAUUUUAAUGAUUAAAGGACCUAUUACAUUUUCAAAAUUCUUAAACCUAAUUUAUUCAAGUUGUUAUCUACUUUUUGAGCAAAUUUUCUUAAAAUUUUAAGCAGCUUUUUAAAUCUAGGGGUUUAAAUUUACUGCUUAAGAUAUAUUACUAGAUCUUCGCCCUUUAUUUUCACUUUUAUAUGCAUAUAUAUUUAUUUUAGAUCAUUAAUGGUGUAUAUUUUUAAUUUUAAUCAUAUAUUUAAAUAUUUAUAUAACUAUUUCAAAUACAAUAAUUUAUCGUUUACAUGUUGUAAAUAAUAAAUUGUUUAUUACCGUCACAUGUAUUUGUUGCUUCUUAUUAUAUAUUUAUCUUAUUGUAUUUACAUUUAGCUAUUAAAUAAAUUAAUAUGUGCAUGAAAAAACAUAACUAAAAUUAUUUUCUAUUUAAUUUAUGUUAAUUUUUUAACCGUGCAUUAAAAACUGGAUAUCCUUUUAGUAAUAUUUUUACGUUAUUCAUUUUAUAUAAUAUUAUUAUUUUAUAUACAAAAGUCUAAGAUAUGUUAAUUUUAUACAUGUAUUAUAUAGUCUAUCAUCAUAUUAUAUUAUAUAUUUAUGAAAAUAAAAUUUAUAAAUCUAUGAAUUUAAUUUAAUUUUCUCAUAUGUAGUUCAAUAUAAUAAUUUUAUCUUAACAUGAUUGAUUAUGAUUAUAAAAUACUAGGAUCGGCCCGCCCUACGGGCGGGAAGUUAUUAUAAAAAUUAUUUUACAUGAAUUUAUAUUAACUUAUGAAACAUUUAAAAUUAUUAUGUAUUGAAAAUAAUAUUAUAAACAAAAAAUAAUGGAAAUAAUUCUGAGAUCAUAUUGUUAUUGUUAAUAAAUAUUUUUGAUUUGAAUUAAAAUGACAACAACUUUCAUUAUUCUCUAUCGUUAAAUAAUACAAUAUUAACAAAAAUAAUUAAGAAAAUGUAAUAAUAGAAAUAUUCUUAUUAUUUCUAUUUCAAUUUGACAUAGUAAAAAUAUAAAGUUUAUACAAAUAAUACUAUAUUUAUUUUAAGAAGCUUCAAAUUUUUAAAAACAUUAACAUAAUUUUUUUUUCUAAAGAACCUACAGUCCAGUAAGUAAAGAGCCUUUGUAUUGUUGUCAGUUUGUCACCAUAUAAAUCCGGCUAAUCUGUAAUAAAACACACAAAUCAUUAUACAGAAAAGAUAAUGAAAAUCAAAUUCACGCUCCCUAGAAGUUAACUGAGUGUACUUGCCAACCAGUUUCUAUGCUGUUAAGAUACUUUCUGAAUAAGUCACUGAAAAGCCAUAUCUGCGAGAAGGUGAACUCGUACUGUGUUGAAGGAAUCCAGUGACCGGAGAAGAAGAGACUUUGGCCGGAUUAGCCUAGAUCUUGACCCUGUCGUCGUCGCACCACCGAGAUCAAGAGCUCGUGUCGCCUUACGAGAGAGAGAUUGUUGGAGAUGAAGAGAUCGACAAAAUAAGGGAUUGGAGGUUUCUAAUUUUUUAUUCUAUUUUAAUUAUUUUUCCCAUUUUUAAUAUUUCAUAAUUGAUUUCUUAAUUUGAUUAUCCAAGGGUAUUACUGGGAUUUUGAAAAUUAUUAACCUAAUGAGACAAUUCUAAUAUAAGAUUAGCCUAAUGGGACAAUGAAUCUAUUUUUUUGGUCUAAAAAACAAUUUUCCCUUUUUAGUUUUACUUUCCUAGGAAGUUUAACGGUGUUAUUAAGAAAGUUAAACACAAUAUUGAAACGUGUCAGAAAAGAUAAUCACGCCCAUAAAUAUAUCGAAUGUGUCAUAAAGCAAAAAUAAAUGAACUCCUUCUAAUUUAUUUUAAAUAUUGUUGUAGACUUUAAAAUUUGUUUCAUUAUAAAUGUUGUUUUAUAUUUUCAAUGCAAAUGUUUGAUAGUUUUUUCCAUUUUUAACAUUACAUUUUAACUCAUUAAUAAACAAAACAAAUAAAAUGGUGUAUUAGCUAGUAUUGAUCAUGCGUAGAAUUUUGCUUAUGCUUACAAAUAAGACUAAGUCUCACUUAUAUACAACUAGGGUGAACCCGCCCUACGGACGGACAAAAAAUAUAUAAAUAAUUCAAUUAUAUUUUAAAUGUUUAAGUCAUUCUUAACAAAAUAAAUAUAGUUGCAUAUUUUUAUCACGAAAUUUUAUUUAUUUAUUCGAUUACCUAGAUUAGAAAUCAUAAAUUUAAUUAAUUAUUAAAAUUUAUAAAAUAUAAGUAUUAUACUUUGUUUUAAAGUUUGUUUUAAUUUAAUUUAUAGCGAUUGUUGCUUCUACUGUUUUUAACAAAGAAACAUCCAAUUAUUAGUUAUAACCUUAAUCUAAAUCUGAUUCUUUGAUUCCAUAAAUUAUCUUUCACUGUUAUUUACAGUUGGAUUCGAAAAAUAAAAGAGUAUUAAUGUAUUAUCGUAAAGUAAGCUUGUUAUCAUUUGUAAACUUAGCCCUUUUCAACGUGAAAAAAUGUCUCUUUACUUCGAAAACAAAUAAUUUUCUCUUCUCUUUUGCUUUUUUGUCUUUUGAAAUUUUCCAUGAAAAAUCUCAAAAUUUAUAAAAUCUUGAAGUACGAAAAAAAUCUGUCUGAGUGAUCCAUAGAUUUAAAGGUGAAAAAAUGUUGGUACAAAAAAAAAGAAUAGUAAGUUGGAGAAGAGUUUGGAAGUCGUUUCAAACGGUUCUAUUAUUCAGUAAUAAAUUUAAAUUGGAUUUUUUUCAAUUCCAUUUCAUACAAAAUCUAAGUGGAUUAUUCAUGAAUGCUUGAAAACAAUAUAUACAUAUGCAAAAUAUUUUUAUCAAAUGUAUCUAAUAUUUUCUCUGUUGGUAAGACUUUUUUACUUUUUGUAGGGUGUCAUAUUUUUGUUUUGAUCAAUAAAAAAGUAGUUGCAGCUCUCUCGUUGUAAGAUGUCAUAUGAAUACAUUUUAUUAUGGUUUCACCUAGAAUGAGUUAAUAUUUAGAAUGUGCGUCCUUCUCAAAACAUGACCGUUUUGGAUAGAGAAAUAUUUUCAUAGUGAUUUAGGGAAGGCUCUCUAAGCUCUUAUCACUUCAAAAAAAAAUGCAUAUGUUCUUUUUUAAUUAGAUUCGUUAAAGCAUUCACUCAAAUUGAGAUUCUUCUUGUUUCAUCUUUUUUUUUUUGAACUCCUUAUUUUAUCUUCUUAGUAUAUGAAAUUGGUGUUUAUAGAAUACUUAUACAAAUGCAUUCGAUUUGUUUCUGUAUUCUCUAUAAUUAAAUGUUUUCAGUUUUAUAAAUAGUUUCCAUUAGGGUUUGAGUAGAUUACGUUUUCAGUUAAUUUCAGUUCGAAAAAAAGCUGCUUCUCAUUUUGUUAAAUUAUUUAGUUCAACGUUAAUAUUUGUUAAUUUUAUGUGUUUUAGAUUCCAUUUAUUAUCUAAUAUGAGUAUAUUUCAAGACAUUAAUUGUAAUUAAGUAUUUAUUAUUUUUAAUCUCUGCAUUUAAUUUUACAUGUAAUUCUUAUUUAUUUUUUUUGUAAAAUAGCUAUAUUAAUAGAUCCCACUUUUUUAUCAACUAAUACAUCCUACUAUAUGUUCGGACAGUUUCUUUCUUGAAAGCAUUUGUUUUAUUUGAAUUGAAAUCAAACUAAACACUAAAGACACAUAAAGAUGGUACCAUUGUAAUUUUGUGGAUAAAACUAAAGCAAGAGGAUACGAUGUGGCAUGUGAAUGUCUACAGCUGUGAAUCUGCGAUCACUCUUCUCCUCACGUCACCAUUUUAAUAAAAACAUUUUUCUAUUCUCCUAGUCAUGUCCUUCGACUUUCUCGCUCUCUCUCAUUGACUUUUCGAAUUCUCUUAAAAUUUUCAAUUUUUUUUUAGUGGUAAAAUCAAAAUUAUAGAUAUUUUUCUAUUUAUUUUAUAAGAUUCCACACCACUUCAUUUUUUAUAUUUUUUUGUCUCUGUAAACGAUUGGUUAUCUUCUUCUUGUCCUUCUUAUUUUUUCUCCUUAGACGCUUCACCAUGGCAGUAUUAAUACACAAAACUACACCAGCUUAUAAGCUUCAAAAACUUCUUCAUGAUUUCCCAGACUGGAUGUGAGUCUGUGACUUUCACAAAUGAAAAGAUUUCUACGAUUUAUCUCAGAUUCAAGCCGCUCACCAUCGGAUUCAAAGUAGUGGCUUCUUAUCUCAUGUCUCAGCGAUUAGAGUCUCUGUUUCUCUCAAACUCCCACAUGGCCACAUCAACGCGUCCAUUUAUGGUUUCGGGUUCUAAACCCACCUAAUCGAACCUUGAUUCGUGUAUUGGAAAAUCUCUGGUACGUUGAAGCGCAGUAGUUUGGAAGCAAGAGAUAGACAUGAUUUGGAUGAACUGAUGAGAAUUAUCAAAAUCGAUAUUCCUAUUUAUAGGAGUAAAUAGUAGGAGGAGGCUUGGGUGAAUUUAUUGUAACGCAGUGGGGGUGUGGAUUGGAUUUAAAGAGGAAUAAAUAAUUUAAUGAGAUGAUUUAAGGGACCAUCGACGAUAUGAAUGAAGAAAGAAAACUAUAGUGCCACAUGUCACACUCACAUAAGUUUAUUUAUUCAACAGAUGUUUCAAGAAAAAAAACAAUAUGAAGUAGAUAGAAGGGCCCAUAAAAACACGAAGGCCCAUAAAAACACGAAGGCCCAUGAUGAAACAAAACGCAACUUAAGUGAUGAAUCGCUGCGUUUCAUUUAUUCGAUACGUGUCAGACGUUGAGAGAGAGAAUUGUUGUGCUGGCAUCCCAUGUGGCAUAGCUGGGAGGGAUUCAAACCUUUUUUUAUAUAUAAAGAUAUAGAUAUAAAAGUAUGAUAGAAUUUUUAUUUUUAAUUUUAUAAACAAUAGCUCUAUAUAUUAAUGCAUAAUAAUACUAAAUUGCUAAUUACGAAGUUAGUAAAAAUAUUUUACAUAAAUUUUUUUGAAAAGUAAUAUAUUGUUAAAAUAUUUAGAUCAACAUAAUAAUUAUCUUUUAAUAUGAUUUAUUUUUAUUAUAUAAUAGAUAAAAAUAAGAUAGAAUAUUUAUUUUUUAUUUUAUGAACGUAAAUAAAUAUAUUAAUGUAUAAUAAUAUUUCAAAAGUAAUAACAAAAGUAGUGAAAAUAUUUACAUAUAAUUUUUAAAAAUUAAGAUCUUAAGAUCUUUUAAAACUGAUUUUUUCGAAAUUUUUACUACAUAUAUAUAUAUAUUUUUUUUAAAUGAAUAAGAUAUUAUGAUGAAAGUAAUUCAAAGAUUAUAGAUAUUAUUAGUCUUAUUUAAAUACAUUUAAUAAAAUUUCUUUAAAAUGGUCUAACUUAAAAGUCACGCAUGAAAUGAAGUUGUGACUUCUAUUUUAAUAGAAUAGAUUACACUACGUGAUGUGAUACCAUUUUGGGUUAUUAAACCAUGUGUUAUUUGAAAUACAUAUAGAGUCCUACCAUUAAUUAGUGUUACGAGAAGUUGUUCUGAAACUGUUUUUCAGAAACACUGUAUUCCUACGAUUUAUGACCUUUCUAUAAACUGUAUGUGAUCAAACUAUAUACUUAUACUACUAAUUAAUAAUUGAUCGAUUAUGGUAUAAAUACACGAUUAUUAGGCUUUGGGGCCAAAAGCGGGGAAUGGUUAGGCUGGUGGCACCCACUAGUAUGCUUUCAUCUCACAAUGUAGCCACUAUGUCUGGGGUUCGGCUCUACGAUCCAGUUAAUAGGAGUGAAAUAAGCUUUUAUUUUUUGACACGAAAUAAGCUUAUGUCCCAAGCUUGUGAAGAACAUAUAUAAAAAGAAAAGCUUUUGAACCCCCACAAAGGAUUAUGUACAAGUACAAUACACUGAACCAGGCUUCGAGAACAUAAGAAAAGUAUUAAUUUUCUGGAAAACAAGGAAAGGCGCACACACUCGCAAAAGGAAAAAAAGAAGCAAUUAUAUGCACAAUGUCUUUUACUGGUAUAUAAUAUGUUUAAUUAAAGUGAAUUUUUUGAAAAUUUUGUAAUGAACACACACACAAAAAGAAAAAAAAAGAAGCAAUUAUAUGCACACAAUGUCUUUUACUGGUAUAAAAUGUUUAAAGUGGAUUUCUUGGAAAUUUUGUGCUAGCCUAAAAUUAUCAUCCUAAAGUGAUAUGAAGUGAUAUUAUAUCCAGAUUUCUUAGGAUACAAUCGUGUACAUUAUUUUAACCCAAACGAUGACACGUUUACAUUUUCAACGAUGACACGUUUACAUUUUCAGCGACUCCAUGCAAUAUUCAGGAUAUGAUUGGCAACAAAAACUACAAAUAGAUGGUUUACAAGCACAUGUCGACCCACGAAAAAUAUAUAUUGUGGAUUCAUAUCAAUAAGACAACGUAAUUUUUUUUUUAAUUUUGGUGUUGUCUUAGUAUCCGUCUUAGUAUCCCCUGCAUUUUAAUCUUGGAACAUUACAACAUAUUUUCAUAGCCAUAUGUCAUCACGAGAAUGAUUCUUAGAAUUGUUAUAAAAAUAAAUUGGUCCGUAUAAACAUAUACUAUGUUUUUUAUUAAAUUAACUAUCAAAUUAAUUAGUAAUGUACAAAAGAAUAUUUUUUUUUUCCUUAAAUAAAAGCAACGGAAUUACCUAAUAUGAUUAACAUAUAUGUGACAAUUAAUGAUUAUAAAUAAUAUAUAUUUGAUAACAAUUUUUCUCACUUCUCUAUUUUUUGUUUAAUUUAAUAGUAUUAAAAGAAAUUAAACAAUCACAUUAAGCAUAUAAUAAAAAAAUUUAGAUUUUUUUCUUAUAUGUUAUAUUUUGAAUUUUUAAAAACGACUAUAAAUUACUAAAAAUUGUAAAAGACCCACACUGAAAAUUUUGUGAUCAGUGGUUUAACUUUUUUUUUUUGUUCAAGCAAGAUACAAAUGAUGAUCAUAUAUCGUAGAGGUGGGCAUUCGGAUACACGUUCGAGUUCGUAUCGAGUAUUUCAGUAUAGAGGUAUAAAACUCAUUCGGAUAUUUCUACACUUCGAGUCGGGUUUGAGUAUUUUAUGUUCGGGUUUGGAUAUUUUGGGCCGGGUUCGGAUAUUUAAAUUUUGAAAAAAAAAAAUAAAUGAAUCAUUGUUUAAGUUUUUUGUAUUUAAAAUAUAUUUUAACUGGUUUUCUAAUUUAAAAAAAUUAAACUAUUAAUAGGUUUGGAGAUAAAACUUUAAAAAUAUAAAGACAUUAAUUUAAUUGUUGUUUAAAAAUUUUAGAUGCAACUUUUGUUAAUGCAAGAAACAAAAGCUUGAUAUAUAUUUUAAGUGAGUAGCAAAUAAUUUUGUCUAUAAUUAUAUGUAUAUUAUCUAAUUUUGAGCAAUAAACAUCAUUAAUAUAAAUAUUUUGAAUAAAAUGAGAGAAGUAGACUAGAAAUAUAGGGUUAAGUAUACUUAUGUUUGGUUAUCUUCGGAUAUCCAUUAGGAUUCAAAUAUUACCCGUUUGGAUUCAAAUAUUACCCGAACUGGUGAAAUAAGUAAUUUGUUUUGUUAUUCUAGAAUUAGAUAAUUUUUAAACCGAGCUGGUGAAUAUAUACUAGACAUAUAUUUAUAUUUCGAGUAUUCACUUAUAUAUUAUGUAAUAGCUUGAUAUAUUAGACUUGAACAUAGUAUGUUAAUAUAGUUUGCCUGUGACUUUUUUCAAAAUUUUGAUUCUUAGAUAUGUAUCUGGAGUUAAACUAAUUUUUACAGAUGUCCAUUUUUUUUAAAUGACACUUAUUUAAUUCACCGAAUUCAUAGAAGAAGUUAAAAAAAAAAGAAACUUAACUCAUAUCAAUAAAAUAAAGACGAGAAUGAAAACACAAUUUUAUAGAGGUAAAAAAUAAACUCACUUAUGGAGAGUCAAUAGUAAACAAAUCGAGAGCAGAAAACCUAAUCCCCUUUCGUUAUUAUACAAUCGAUGUUGCCUAUUUGGUUUUGGUGAUUUGUGUCAACGCAAAACUUAAUUUUUUUUUGUGCAUAUGAAGUCUUAAAAAUAAUUAAAAUGAUAUAUAUGUAAUACGUUAACUCUUCAACAACGAUGAUAUAUUUAAGAGACCAACAUUUGUAUUCAUCAUUGUACAAUCGAUAAAGAUCGUAUUGUUGCAAAAUGUUAAAACCAUUCAAUAAAUAAACAUUAUUAUAAAAAUUCAGUUCGCGUAUGCGCGCGGUUUAUCAUCUAGUUCUCUAAUUUACGGUUCAAUACAUAAUUCGAAGACUGGCAAAAAAAAAAGAAGAUAACUCAAAUUAAGCUAAAGUAGAUGAAGCUGUGUCAUGGAGGUAUUGAUGCCGAUCCAAAUAAUACAUUAAAAAAUUUCUCUCUCGAACUCUUUUAAAGUUUUAGAAUAAUCUAAAGUUGAAAACAUCGUUUCAUAUUAGAAAAAUCAAAGUUAUAGAAAAAUUAACAUACUUUAAAUCGAUUCCUUAACUCGGUUUUAAAAGUUUUUAAUGCUUAAUAUAUAUUUCUCUCUUUCCGUCUUUUCGCUAAUAACUCAUUAUUUCACCUCGUGUUUCAGAAAUACACUCAAAGAAAAAGCGAUCUCUCGCCUUCACUUUCUAAGCAAUAAUACCAUGACUAAGCUCAAUCUUUUAACUGGGUUCUUAUCUUCAGAUAAAAAACGGUUCUUAAUUUUUCUUAGAUUUUAAUUAAGAAAAGCUAAGAACGUCUCUUAAAUAAUAGAUAUAAGAACCGUCUCUUAGCUGAAAAGUAUAUAAAAAAAAUAAAAAAUAUCAAAUCAUGAAUUAAAAAUCCCAGCUAAGAAACCGUAGUUAAUCAUGCUCUCCAUCUUCAUUCACUCCACGUAUUUAAUACCUUCGACCCGUCAACAAAAUUUCAUCGGUCUCUUACCAUAACAAAAACAAAAAAACACAAACUCCAAGUCUUCUCUCGAAGACUCAAAGACAACUUAAACUCUCUUCCGUACAUAGCCAUGUCUCUACUAUGGAAGAAGCCUAAAUCUGGUCGACUCACUAGAUUCAUGUCAGAGUUUCACCAAUCUCCGAAACGCGGUGGGAUCAUGGUCGUUGAAACUGGCUUCCCAACUUCUCUGAUCGAUCUCUUCUUCAAGAAUCGCGAUCGUCUAAAAAAGUAUUCCUCUAAAACUAAACGCAUCCAACGCUUGAUCGAGACCGCUCCAAACGCUUCUUUGCCAGUUAAUCCAGACGUGAGUCUAGAAAAGCCGGUAACGAGGAGUAAGAUCGAGAAAGUUAGUCUCGUCGGACGUCGAAAGCAUACAAGUGACAACAACGUUUGCGUUUGCGGCGAUGGAACCGGUGCCUUUGUUUUGAUGGCGUUUAAGCUUUUUAUAGUGGCGGUGCUUUCCUUGAGCACUACGAAGAGCCUCACUAUGGGAAUCACUCUCUGCGCCUUCGCGCUUUUCUUUACAGAGAACGUGGCGACGCGUAUUCUCACGAGUUUCAAGCUCUGUAACACCGACACAAGAAAAGAAAAGCCACUCGCUUCAACACACGACGAUAAGUUGGUUUCUUGUUCGGAGGAAACAGAAACAAUAGGUGUAACAAAGAACUCGAAUUCGGAUGAGAAAACUAGAAGCAAAAAUUCGAGACUGAAAUCGAAGAUUCUGAAGAAGCUGAGGAGUUACAAGAAGAAGAAGAAGGAUAAAACGACAGAUGUGUCAAGCGUGGUUACCAAGGAUAUGUUAGAGGUGGUCGAGGACUCUGAGAGAGACGAGGAGAAGUCGAAUCAACCAUUGAUAGAAUCAAAAGGAGAUAACAUGAAAGGGACUGUUGUGAUCGUGAUUGUGCUUACAGGUCUGUUAAGUGGAAAGAUCGCAGCUAUUGGUCUGACACUAUCAUGUCUGUAUCUCGGAUUCGGAGCAGCCAAAAGAUCUGGUUUUUGCAAAUAAAAAUUCUCUUCUUUUUUCUUACAAACAUUGGAGUAUUGGUGUGGUGAUCAUUGAUUAAUGAUCGUUUAUGUACUUAGAGAUUAGUUUAACAUCGACUGUUUGUUUGCGUUUACGACUUAUGUUUAAUUGUUGUUGAUUGAUCUUAAACGUAAAUUUUAAACGCAAAUAUUUAAUGAUAUGUUGGCGUUUGGCGCGCUUUUGUUUAUAUUAUGCAGAAAUGGAAAAUUAUAAAGUAUUUCUGUAUUUCAAAAGCAGUUAUCAAAAAAUAUAAACACAAAUGCAAAGUUAAAUGUAAACAAUGGUUUCUUAAAGAAAGCAUAGCUAUUAAUAUUAUAAAAUUUAUAAUGGUGGAAGCUGGUUCAAGAGUUGCUCCAGAAAAUAUAUCAACACAAAAGAAAUUGUUAGGCAAUGUAAUUAACUAUUUAUUAGUGUUAAUUUGGAAGUGGUGCAGUAGGUGAAAAGAAAUCCAGAAAUAGCACUAGAAUGUGAUAGCUUAUGUGGCAGUAUAAACAGACGAUAUGGCAAUUUUAAAUAUUUGGCAAUUUUAAUUGCAGUCAAUGCUAUUAAAACGGAAGAACUUUUUAUCUACUUGCAAACAGUCUAAGUUGGAUCAUUACAUUUUUUAAUUUCCUAUAAUUUAUUCUACAACUAACUUAGUUAUUAUUACAUAUAUACCAUUUGUAACAUAUUUUUUUAAUAUUUACAUAUACAUAGUUUACUCAUAAUUAAAUUGCUACACCAAUUAAUAAAUAUAAAGUAAUUUUAUCCAUUUAUUAACUAUUUUAUAAAUUAUACUACAAAUUACCUUUGUCAAACAGUGAAUAAUAGUGUGUCUUUAGGUAUAUAGCUAAUUAUGGGAUAAUAUUAAGGUAUGAGAUGCAAAUAUUCCAUUAAAGAAUAACAUAUAUUCAUGAAUUUUACAACAUACUUCAACUUAUUAAAAAAAAAUAUCAAAGUAAGAUAUAUAAACUAAUAAAUAAUUUUAUAUUUUAAUUUACAUAUUUAAAUUAGAAUUUUAAAAUAAUUUCAUAUAUUUAUCAAGUAUGAGACGGGUAGAAUGACAUAUAGUAAUUUAUAUACUAAUAAAAUAAAAAUUUACCAAUAUAAAAUUUAAAAAUAAAAUUUUACUAUAAUUUAAAGCUUUUUUUUUUGAAUGAAUGCUAAAUUUGUAUUCAUCAAAAAAACUUUUUUAUAUCAUGUGUAGUCCUUUCUCUAUACAACCACUACUCCCAACUAUGAAAAAUGGCUACAUCAAAACUCAAAUUUAAGUCUCAAACCAAAAUUGAAGAGCCCCUUCCAUGCCCUUCCUUCUUUGCAUUCUCAAAAUACUUAGCUUGUUUCUAAUCCCUUUAUCCACAAGCUUCUUCAUCGUCUCAAUUGUCAUUGGCUUCUCCCCAUGUUUGAUCUUAUUUCUUUCCCUCCAUAAUGCAUAGAUUGCAGCUUGGAAAGAGUACCUUACACAGAAUAAUCGCUUCUUCUCCAUAGAUCUUCCUGAUAGUACCGGUACUAUAGCUGACCAUGUAUGGGAAUGAGAGUUUUCCAAGAUACCAAGCGUGAGAUGCCUCCACAGCUGUAAAGAAAAUGAACAUUCAAAGAAUAAAUGAUUCCUUGUCUCUACAACACUUUUACACAAUACACACGUUGUAUCAACACCCAAAAUCCAUUUAGCAACGUGAUCCAUGGUAGCCAGCCUAUCCCAUAUUGCUAACCAAGUUAUAAAUGCAAAUUUUGGAGUUGCCAUAGAAAACCAAGUACACUGAGCCCAAGAGUAGUGAGUAUAGUUUUCCCGAAGCAGUAACCAAGUCUCAAGAGUUGAGAACUCAGACUUAAAGCCCGUUUUGCAUCUCCAUUGGUGAACUCAGACUUAAAGCUUUAAAAUAAAAGUAAAAUUAAUACGGGCGGGUUAUGUAAAUGAUUUAUCUUAUUUUCAUAAAAUUAUAUUAAUGUAAAUUUUAAUUUAAUUAUCUAUACUUUAAAAUGGGAAAUAUAGAAUUAAAUUUUUAUUCAAUAAAAUAAAAUGGGAAUAAAAUCUUAUAAUAUAUAAUAUACUUAAACAAUAUAUUCAGUUAUCAAUAAAAAAUAAAUUAAACUAUAACAAUAAAAUUUAGUUUUUUUGUAUCAUCAUUUUCUUAAUUUUAUUUUAAUAAUAUAGUAUGAGUAUUAUCAAAAUUUAAGAAUCACAAAUCAUAUUGUUUAUUAAAAUUUAUGUUCUAUUAAAAAAUAUAUCAAAAGUUGAAUCACUUUUUUUUUAAAUAGCAUCAGAUUUAUAUGGGGUUUAUUGGGUUCAUUAGUGUUGGAUCGCAGGUUAAUGACAAACUUUAGGGUUUUACCGGGUUUAUCAUAUUUUUAAAUAUUUAGUUUUAAUUAAAUCUGAAAAAAAAUAUUUAUACAAGUCAUCAGAUUUACCAGUUCAACCGCCGAUCUGGAACAAAUAGGAAAAGACGGAUAAAAACUAUUAUUUUUAGGCCAUUAACUAUUUUUAAUUGAUUGGUCUUGAAUACAAAUUUUUGAAAUGCUAUAUAUCAAUAACAUAUUAACCUAUUAAUUGAAUAAUUAUUAACAACAUUAUUAGUUAUUUUUAGGCCAUUAACUAUUUUGCAGGCCACAUCAUUAACAAAAAACAAUUCAUAUGUUAUGCAAUUAUAAUAUAUGAUUAUAUAUAUAUGAUCAUGUAUAUUAUUUUUAGUACUAUGUUAUGCAACCAUAACAUAUGAUUAUUGUUUUCGAUCAAAAAAAAAAUGAUUAUUGUUAUUACUUUGAUGAUGUCAAAAAAGUAUCACAACAUGUGAUUGUUCUUUAAUAUAAUUAACAAUAUUUAUCAAAUUAAUACCAUUCUAAAACAUAUAAUAUAAUUUUUUUAUAAUCAUAUAACUAAAUUUAAA
rnacentral:lncRNA from 1 species